rnacentral:rRNA from 1 species
UGCGUAGGGUGCGAGCGUUAAUCGGAAUUACUGGGCGUAAAGGGUGCGCAGGCGGUUUUGUAAGCCAGAUGUGAAAUCCCCGGGCUCAACCUGGGAAUGGCAUUUGAGACUGCAAGGCUAGAGUGUGGAAGAGGAGACUGGAAUUCCCGGUGUAGCAGUGAAAUGCGUAGAUAUCAGGAGGAAUACCGAUGGCGAAGGCAGGUCUCUGGGAUGACACUGACGCUCAUGCACGAAAGCGUGGGGAGCAAACAGG